GGAGGGGUGGCCGAGUGGUCGAAGGCGACGGUUUGCUAAACCGUUAUAGGGUGUAAAGCCCUAUCGAGGGUUCGAAUCCCUCUCCCUCCGCCA
rnacentral:tRNA from 2 species